rnacentral:rRNA from 1 species
GAUGAACGCUAGCGGCAGGCUUAACACAUGCAAGUCGAGGGGUAUUUAUCUUCGGAUAGAGAGACCGGCGCACGGGUGCGUAACGCGUAUGCAAUCUACCUUUCACAGAGGGAUAGCCCAGAGAAAUUUGGAUUAAUACCUCAUAGUAUAUCGAGUUGGCAUCAACAUGAUAUUAAAGUCACAACGGUGAAAGAUGAGCAUGCGUCCCAUUAGCUAGUUGGUAAGGUAACGGCUUACCAAGGCUACGAUGGGUAGGGGUCCUGAGAGGGAGAUCCCCCACACUGGUACUGAGACACGGACCAGACUCCUACGGGAGGCAGCAGUGAGGAAUAUUGGACAAUGGGCGCAAGCCUGAUCCAGCCAUGCCGCGUGCAGGAUGACGGUC